ensembl:piRNA 21ur-3887 ncRNA
UUAAAUGCUGCAUUUUAAUGA